UGUGCCAUCUUCUUUUUUCACAGUGACUUUGCCACCUUCUCUGCUCUGAAUUUCUCCCUUCACAUACAUCUGCUUUGGGUCUAUCACGAAGUAUGAUGUUUUGGCAUCAAACGGUCUGUUCUGUGCCUCAAUCCUCUCCUUGUCAGUUUUUCGGAGGAAUUGGGCUGCCUCCCCAAAUACAGCCAUCUCACCGUCACCCAUGGUUGAUGGUUUACUACACAUAUAUCAUGUUUAUUAAAAAAAAAGGUAAGAAAAAUGCAAUUUAAUUAAAAUUACUUGCAUGAAAUAUAAUUAUACACUUUUUGCUUUAAAGUAUAUGCAUGUAUUUGUGGUUGCAGAGUUGUUAUGAAGAUAUUCAAAAUUACCAAUUCACUUAGAGUGUGAAAAUAAACGUUCACAGAAAUUGCAAGAAUGAGCUGAUUAAUUAAUAAAUGUGCUUGUUUUUCAAUAAAAAUAAUUGCUUGUUUGUAUAUUAUAUUUCAGUGAAAUAAAUAAGAAGACAUACCUUUAGUAUCCUUCCCAGGUGGAAAAAGAUUGAAAAGGGAAUAUUCUGUA